rnacentral:rRNA from 1 species
CCUACGGGUGGCAGCAGUGGGGAAUAUUGCACAAUGGGGGAAACCCUGAUGCAGCGACGCCGCGUGAGUGAAGAAGUAUUUCGGUACGUAAAGCUCUAUCAGCAGGGAAGAAAAUGACGGUACCUGACUAAGAAGCCCCGGCUAACUACGUGCCAGCAGCCGCGGUAAUACGUAGGGGGCAAGCGUUAUCCGGAUUUACUGGGUGUAAAGGGAGCGUAGACGGCAGCGCAAGUCUGUAGUGAAAUCCCAUGGCUUAACCAUGGAACUGCUUUGGAAACUGUGCAGCUAGAGUGCAGGAGAGGUAAGCGGAAUUCGUGGUGUAGCGGUGAAAUGCGUAGAUAUUAGGAGGAACACCAGUGGCGAAGGCGGCUUACUGGACUGUAACUGACGUUGAGGCUCGAAAGCGUGGGGAGCAAACAGGAUUAGAUACCCGGGUAGUC